GCCAAACAGCUAGCUUACCAACCAAUGUAACAAAACAAUAUAAAUAAAAUACAAUAAGCUUAACACCAAAAACUAAACCAUUUUUUUACCUUAGUAUGGGAGACAGAAAAGGUUCAACCCAAAGCAAUAGAGACAGUACCGCAAGGGAAAGCUGAAAGAGAAGUGAAAUAACCCAUAUAAGCACUAAAAAGCAAAGACUAAACCUUGUACCUUUUGCAUCAUGAUUUAGCCAGUAAACACAAGCAAAGUGACCUUUAGUUUGAAACCCCGAAACCAGGUGAGCUACCCCGAGACAGCCUAUAAGGGCCAACCCGUCUCUGUGGCAAAAGAGUGGGAAGAGCUCCGGGUAGAAGUGACAGACCUACCGAACCUGGUGAUAGCUGGUUGCCUAAGAAAUGAAUAGAAGUUCAGCCUCGUGCACCUCACACCAAUAAUACAAAUUAAGACCAAGAGUAAUUUACGAGAGUUAAUUAAAAGGGGUACAGCCCUUUUAAUAAAGGAUACAACCUUACCUAGGAGAAUAAAGAUCAUAAUAUAUAAAACACACUGUUCUAGUGGGCCUAAGAGCAGCCACCUAGAUAGAAAGCGUUAAAGCUCAGACAGAAUAAAGUUUAUUAUCCUGAUAAAAAAUCUUAUUUCCCUACACACUAUUAGGCUAAUCCAUGCCCACAUGGAAGAAACUAUGCUAAAAUGAGUAACAAGAAGGCCCGCCCUUCUCCCAGCACAAGUGUAAGCCAAAUCGGACCAACCAUUGGCAACUAACGAACUCAGCCCAAGAGAGCAAUGUGAACUACAAAAAAAACAAGAAAACCCCACAACUCAAUAAAUCGUUAAUCCUACACUGGAGUGCUAUUUAAAGGAAAGACUAAAAGAAAAGGAAGGAACUCGGCAAACACAAGCCUCGCCUGUUUACCAAAAACAUCGCCUCCUGCAACACAACCAAGUAUAGGAGGUCCAGCCUGCCCAGUGACUACAAGUUCAACGGCCGCGGUAUUUUGACCGUGCAAAGGUAGCGCAAUCACUUGUCUUUUAAAUAGAGACCUGUAUGAAUGGCUAAACGAGGGCUUAACUGUCUCCCAUUUCCAGUCAGUGAAAUUGAUCUGCCCGUGCAGAAGCGGGCAUAAUAAUACAAGACGAGAAGACCCUUUGGAGCUUAAGGUACAAAAUUCAACCAUGUUAAGCAACUCAUCAAAAAGUGUAAACUUUGUGGAACAUGAAAUUUUACCUUCGGUUGGGGCGACCACGGAGAAAAAACAAGCCUCCAAGUGGAUAGGGAUAAUACUCCUAAAACCAAGAGAAACACCUCUAAGCCACAGAAUAUCUGACCAAAUAUGAUCCAGCCAUAAGGCCGAUCAACGAACCAAGUUACCCUAGGGAUAACAGCGCAAUCCUCUCCCAGAGUCCAUAUCGACGAGGGGGUUUACGACCUCGAUGUUGGAUCAGGACAUCCUAAUGGUGCAGCCGCUAUUAAGGGUUCGUUUGUUCAACGAUUAAAGUCCUACGUGAUCUGAGUUCAGACCGGAGUAAUCCAGGUCAGUUUCUAUCUGUAACGCUACUUUUCCUAGUACGAAAGGAUCGGAAAAGAGGGGCCCAUACCCAAAGCACGCCCCACCCCUAAUUUAUGAAAACAAAUAAAUAAAGUAAAGGGAGAGCUAAAAUCCCAACUAGCCAAAAUAAGGAUAU
rnacentral:rRNA from 1 species